GGUUCAGGACGAACGCUGGCGGCGUGCCUAACACAUGCAAGUCGAGCGAGGAGAUUCCUCGGGAUGAUCCUAGCGGCGGACGGGUGAGUAACACGUGGGCAACCUGCCUCAUAGAGAGGAAUAGCCUUCCGAAAGGGAGAUUAAUACCUCAUAACAUUGCAGUUUCGCAUGAAACAGCAAUUAAAGGAGCAAUCCGCUAUGAGAUGGGCCCGCGGCGCAUUAGCUAGUUGGUGAGGUAACGGCUCACCAAGGCGACGAUGCGUAGCCGACCUGAGAGGGUGAUCGGCCACAUUGGGACUGAGACACGGCCCAGACUCCUACGGGAGGCAGCAGUGGGGAAUAUUGCACAAUGGGGGAAACCCUGAUGCAAGCAACGCCGCGUGAGUGAUGACGGCCUUCGGGUUGUAAAGCUCUGUCUUCAGGGACGAUAAUGACGGUACCUGAGGAGGAAGCCACGGCUAACUACGUGCCAGCAGCCGC
rnacentral:rRNA from 1 species